AUGCUCAGAUCAAUCUUAAACCCCUUUCUUCUUCCUGUCUGCAAAGCUUUUUUUUUCUGGGUUCCUUUAAUAAGUUCAAGAACAGAAGGAAACAUCAUUUCUUGU